UACGAAGGGGGCUAGCGUUGCUCGGAAUCACUGGGCGUAAAGGGCGCGUAGGCGGCCCUCUUAGUCGCGUGUGAAAGCCCCGGGCUCAACCUGGGAACGGCGCGCGAAACGGGAGGGCUGGAGUUCGGGAGAGGAGAGUGGAAUUCCUGGUGUAGCGGUGAAAUGCGCAGAUAUCAGGAGGAACACCCGUGGCGAAAGCGGCUCUCUGGGACGGUACUGACGCUGAGACGCGAAAGCGUGGGGAGCAAACAGG
rnacentral:rRNA from 1 species